rnacentral:rRNA from 1 species
AUUGAACGCUGGCGGCAGGCUUAACACAUGCAAGUCGAGCGGAGCGAGGGUGCUUGCACCUUAGCUUAGCGGCGGACGGGUGAGUAAUGCUUAGGAAUCUGCCUAUUAGUGGGGGACAACAUUCCGAAAGGAAUGCUAAUACCGCAUACGCCCUACGGGGGAAAGCAGGGGAUCUUCGGACCUUGCGCUAAUAGGUGAGCCUAAGUCGGAUUAGCUAGUUGGUGGGGUAAAGGCCUACCAAGGCGACGAUCUGUAGCGGGUCUGAGAGGAUGAUCCGCCGCACUGGGACUGAGACACGGCCCAGACUCCUACGGGAGGCAGCAGUGGGGAAUAUUGGACAAUGGGCGGAAGCCUGAUCCAGCCAUGCCGCGUGUGUGAAGAAGGCCUUUUGGUUGUAAAGCACUUUAAGCGAGGAGGAGGCUACUUAGAUUAAUACUCUGGGAUAGUGGACGUUACUCGCAGAAUAAGCACCGGCUAACUCUGUGCCAGCCGCCGCCAGUAA